rnacentral:rRNA from 1 species
GGAAUAUUGCACAAUGGGCGAAAGCCUGAUGCAGCAACGCCGCGUGAGUGAUGAAGGUCUUCGGAUUGUAAAGCUCUGUCUUUUGGGACGAUAAUGACGGUACCAAAGGAGGAAGCCACGGCUAACUACGUGCCAGCAGCCGCGGUAAUACGUAGGUGGCGAGCGUUGUCCGGAUUUACUGGGCGUAAAGGGUGCGUAGGCGGAUGUUUAAGUGAGAUGUGAAAUACCCGGGCUUAACUUGGGUGCUGCAUUUCAAACUGGAUAUCUAGAGUGCAGGAGAGGAGAAUGGAAUUCCUAGUGUAGCGGUGAAAUGCGUAGAGAUUAGGAAGAACACCAGUGGCGAAGGCGAUUCUCUGGACUGUAACUGACGCUGAGGCACGAAAGCGUGGGUAGCAAACAGGAUUAGAUACCCUGGUAGUCCACGCCGUAAACGAUGAGUACUAGGUGUAGGAGGUAUCGACCCCUUCUGUGCCGCAGUAAACACAUUAAGUACUCCGCCUGGGAAGUACGAUCGCAAGA